GGGUGUGAAGGUGAUCUGUUUGCCACACCUGUCAUCCCAUAUUGACUGUCACCUGCAGACCUGGCUGUCUCGACAAGUGUCCCUUUCCUCCAUUGUCACUCCAUGUGCAUCCCUCGAAAAGCUGUGCAGCUGAGGAAGAGGAUGACCUUCCCUGAGUGGAGGAGGACCAGUCUUCAGUAAAGACUAUACAAGCUGCUGUGCUCCCCUGCUAGAACCUCUAAUCAAGCCCUCAAGGAAUGCCCAUGGGACGGUUCUGGACAAUUAAAUUUAAGGAGUCUACACUGUCACUAAAUGGAGAUUUUGACAUGUGGCUUUUUCAUGGUUG
ensembl:misc_RNA 7SK 7SK RNA